GGGAAGUGACGUUGUCGGAUAUUGGGCGUAAGGGCUCGCAGGCGGUUUCUUAAGUCUGAUGUGAAAGCCCCCGGCUCAACCGGGGAGGGUCAUUGGAAACUGGGAAACUUGAGUGCAGAAGAGGAAAGUGGAAUUCCACGUGUAGCGGUGAAAUGCGUAGAGAUGUGGAGGAACACCAGUGGCGAAGGCGACUCUCUGGUCUGUAACUGACGCUGAGGAGCGAAAGCGUGGGGAGCGAACAGGAUUAGAUACCCUGGUAGUCCACGCCGUAAACGAUGAGUGCUAAGUGUUAGGGGGUUUCCGCCCCUUAGUGCUGCAGCUAACGCAUUAAGCACUCCGCCUGGGGAGUACGGUCGCAAGACUGAAACUCAAAGGAAUUGACGGGGGCCCGCACAAGCGGUGGAGCAUGUGGUUUAAUUCGAAGCAACGCGAAGAACCUUACCAGGUCUUGACAUCCUCUGACAACCCUAGAGAUAGGGCUUUCCCUUCGGGGACAGAGUGACAGGUGGUGCAUGGUUGUCGUCAGCUCGUGUCGUGAGAUGUUGGGUUAAGUCCCGCAACGAGCGCAACCCUUGAUCUUAGUUGCCAGCAUUCAGUUGGGCACUCUAAGGUGACUGCCGGUGACAAACCGGAGGAAAGUGGGGAUGACGUCAAAUCAUCAUGCCCCUUAUGACCUGGGCUACACACGUGCUACAAUGGACAGAACAAAGGGCUGCGAGACCGCAAGGUUUAGCCAAUCCCACAAAUCUGUUCUCAGUUCGGAUCGCAGUCUGCAACUCGACUGCGUGAAGCUGGAAUCGCUAGUAAUCGCGGAUCAGCAUGCCGCGGGUGAAUACGUUCCCGGGCCUUGUACACACCGCCCGUCACACCACGAGAGUUUGCAACACCCGAAGUCGGUGAGGUAACCUUUAUGGAGCCAGCCGCCCAAAGUGGGGCAGAUGAUUGGGGUGAUCACCAAAAGGGGGGGCAAACAAAAAAAAAGGGCCGGA
rnacentral:rRNA from 1 species